rnacentral:rRNA from 2 species
UUUUUUGGAGAGUUUGAUCCUGGCUCAGGACGAACGCUGGCGGCGUGCUUAACACAUGCAAGUCGAGCGGAAAGGCCC